rnacentral:pre_miRNA from 1 species
AAUAAGAUCAUUUUUUAGUUUUUUGAUACAAUGUUUUGAUUCUUCGUUGAUCUUAUUUGAAUUUUUUUUGCGAUUAAUUUUUUAUUCUUACUAGAUGAUAAAAUAUGAAUAGUAAUUUAUACGUGACUAAAUUUUUUAAGUUUUUGUACAAAUUUUUCAAAUAAGACGAAUGGUCAAAUGCUGGACACGGAAAA